rnacentral:rRNA from 1 species
GAUGAACGCUGGCGGCGUGCCUAAUACAUGCAAGUCGAGCGAACAGACGAGGAGCUUGCUCCUCUGACGUUAGCGGCGGACGGGUGAGUAACACGUGGAUAACCUACCUAUAAGACUGGGAUAACUUCGGGUAACCGGAGCUAAUACCGGAUAAUAUAUUGAACCGCAUGGUUCAAUAGUGAAAGACGGUUUUGCUGUCACUUAUAGAUGGAUCCGCGCCGCAUUAGCUAGUUGGUAAGGUAACGGCUUACCAAGGCAACGAUGCGUAGCCGACCUGAGAGGGUGAUCGGCCACACUGGAACUGAGACACGGUCCAGACUCCUACGGGAGGCAGCAGUAGGGAAUCUUCCGCAAUGGGCGAAAGCUUGACGGAGCAACGCCGCGUGAGUGAUGAAGGUCUUCGGAUCGUAAAACUCUGUUAUUAGGGAAGAACAAAUGUGUAAGUAACUAUGCACGUCUUGACGGUACCUAAUCAGAAAGCCACGGCUAACUACGUG